CCUACGGGAGGCAGCAGUGGGGAAUUUUGGACAAUGGGCGCAAGCCUGAUCCAGCAAUGCCGCGUGAGUGAAGAAGGCCUUCGGGUUGUAAAGCUCUUUUGUCAGGGAAGAAACGGUCUACUCUAAUACAGUGGGCUAAUGACGGUACCUGAAGAAUAAGCACCGGCUAACUACGUGCCAGCAGCCGCGGUAAUACGUAGGGUGCAAGCGUUAAUCGGAAUUACUGGGCGUAAAGCGUGCGCAGGCGGUUAUAUAAGUCAGAUGUGAAAUCCCCGGGCUCAACCUGGGAACUGCAUUUGAGACUGUAUGGCUAGAGUGUGUCAGAGGGGGGUAGAAUUCCACGUGUAGCAGUGAAAUGCGUAGAUAUGUGGAGGAAUACCGAUGGCGAAGGCAGCCCCCUGGGAUAACACUGACGCUCAUGCACGAAAGCGUGGGGAGCAAACAGGAUUAGAUACCCUGGUAGUCCACGCCCUAAACGAUGUCUACUAGUUGUCGGGACUUAAUUGUCUUGGUAACGCAGCUAACGCGUGAAGUAGACCGCCUGGGGAGUACGGUCGCAAGAUUAAAACUUAAGGAAUUGACGG
rnacentral:rRNA from 1 species